rnacentral:rRNA from 1 species
AUUGAACGCUGGCGGCAUGCUUUACACAUGCAAGUCGAACGGUAACAGGGAGCUUGCUCCGCUGACGAGUGGCGAACGGGUGAGUAAUGCGUCGGAACGUGCCGAGUAGUGGGGGAUAACGCAUCGAAAGGUGUGCUAAUACCGCAUACGUACUGAGGUAGAAAGUGGGGGACCUUCGGGCCUCACGCUAUUCGAGCGGCCGACGUCUGAUUAGCUAGUUGGUGAGGUAAAGGCUCACCAAGGCGACGAUCAGUAGCGGGUCUGAGAGGAUGGUCCGCCACACUGGGACUGGGCCACGGCCCAGACUCCUACGGGAGGCAGCAGUGGGGAAUUUUGGACAAUGGGCGCAAGCCUGAUCCAGCCAUGCCGCGUGUCUGAAGAAGGCCUUCGGGUUGUAAAGGACUUUUGUCCGGGAGCAAAUGCUGGUGGCUAACAUCCACCGGAGCUGAGAGUACCGGAAGAAUAAGCACCGGCUAACUACGUGCCAGCCGCCGCAGUAAUAC